UGCCGACAUUCCUUAGGGUCCAUAGGGA
rnacentral:piRNA from 1 species